UACGUAGGGUGCGAGCGUUAAUCGGAAUUACUGGGCGUAAAGCGUGCGCAGGCGGUUCGUUGUGUCGGCGGUGAAAGCCCCGGGCUUAACCUGGGAAUGGCCGUCGAAACUGGCGAACUGGAGUGUGGCAGAGGGGGUGGAAUUCCGCGUGUAGCAGUGAAAUGCGUAGAGAUGCGGAGGAACACCGAUGGCGAAGGCAGCCCCCUGGGUCAAGAUUGACGCUCAUGCACGAAAGCGUGGGGAGCAAACAGG
rnacentral:rRNA from 1 species